rnacentral:rRNA from 1 species
AAACUUUCAACAACGGAUCUCUUGGUUCUGGCAUCGAUGAAGAACGCAGCGAAAUGCGAUAAGUAAUGUGAAUUGCAGAAUUCAGUGAAUCAUCGAAUCUUUGAACGCACAUUGCGCCCUCUGGUAUUCUGGGGGGCAUGCCUGUUCGAGCGUCAUUU